rnacentral:rRNA from 1 species
UACGAAGGUGGCAAGCGUUGUUCGGAUUUACUGGGCGUAAAGGGAGCGUAGGUGGUUAGGUAAGCCCUCCGGGAAAUCUUCAGGCUUAACCUGAAAAGGUCGGGGGGGGACUGCCUAGCUAGAGGGCGGGAGAGGAGCGCGGAAUUCCCGGUGUAGCGGUGAAAUGCGUAGAUAUCGGAAGGAACACCUGUGGCGAAAGCGGCUCACUGGACCAUAACUGACGCUGAGGCGCGAAAGCUAGGGGAGCAAACAGG